rnacentral:lncRNA from 1 species
UCUAUAUUUAUCAACCAUCGAAUUAUAGCUCCACUUCAAAAUUCUAUGCCUGAUAUUAAGAUCAUCAUAAGCUAUAUUAAUUUUUCAAAAUUGAUAUUUAUAAUAUUCUUUGUCCUCAUAGUUAUGAUCAUUAAUUUCAACCCAAAAGAUAUCUUUCAAAAAUUUUUAUUAUUUUUUCCGUCGCUUCUUCUUCAGAUUUAAUCUGUAGCCUCCCUAUCCGCCCC